rnacentral:tRNA from 1 species
AUUCAGAUAGUUUAAAUUAAAAACAUUGAAAUGUGGAUUCAAAAAUAUAUUUAUUCUGAAUU